CGAACUUCGAGCGGAAGGCGAGAAUUAGUAUACCUUAUACAACACGGCCGCGAAUGUUGCAAAUGAUUCUAUUUGCUCUUUCGUGUAUUUUUCUAUUAUCUCGUACCAUUUACAACAUUCGCGAGCGUGUGGUAUGAGAUAUACGAACUUCGAGCCGAAGGCGAGAAUUAGUAUAUCUGAUACAACACGGCCGCGAAUGUUGCAAAUGAUUCUAUUUGCUCUUUCGUGUAUUUUUCUAUUACCUCCUACCAUUCACAACAUUCCCGGGCGUGUUGUAUGAGAUAUACGAACUUUGAGCCGAAGGCGAGAAUUAGUAUAUCUGAUACAACACGGCCGCGAAUGUUGCAAAUGGAUUCUAUUUGCUCUUUCGUGUAUUUUUCUAUUAGUGAAUAUUUGUAUUACCAGUACGAUUUGGUAUCAUGAUUCCGUAUCAGAAAUACAAACCACUUCACGCUCAUGAUUUUCUUGUUUUCUUUAUCAAUGAUUGAUGAUAAAUGCAAAUAUUACAAUGAAUAUUAUACGUAAAUUUAAGCCAUGUUUUAAUAAAUACCGUCUGCUCUCCAAUGUUCUCAUACGAACAUUGUGGCCCAAAGAAUUGGGCGUCGACGACAACAAUUCUCGUGGAAGUUACCGGAAAGUGUUGUGGCGCAACGGGCUGUUGCGAUGAGGUCGAUGGUCCGCCAAGAUUUAUCAGUUGACGUUGAAUACCGCUACAUGCGGUUACUGGCUGUAAAAAUUCUUAUAUAUCCGGAUAUAAAACAACCGAACUUAUUUGAUUAAGAGCGCUGCACUGGAAUCUCAGGACCAUGAGUUCGAUUCCUGUCAAAUGGUCUGCAUCUUUCGCGGUUGCUCCUAAUUAGGUCUGAAGAAAUGUUUGAAAUUCAAAUUCAGAAAUUCCAUUUUAACAUUGUUUCAUAAAGCACUUGAAUUAAGCAUUUUUCACUCAACUCAAUUUCAGGUCUUUAAGCUGACAAAGAACUUGUGCCAUAUUCGCCUCAUCCUUCGCUCACAAUGCAAUCGCGAUGUCUCGCCUGUCUCGUACAUAUCUGUUUCCUUAUAGUUCACGUCGAAAAUGUCUUCAAUUUUUGGAUCGCAAUAUGUGAAGCGCGCAAGCGAAAUGGACUAUUAACAAUGUUGAUUUGCAUAAUCUCCGCCAGUAGGCCAUGAUUUCCCAAGGAUUCCUUGUGUUUGUGUCUAUAUAAUAUGAACGUAUAAAUAUAAUUUUAAAAAAGUAAGCAUAUGUGUUUGUGUGUUCGUUGCAUUUAGCAGCAUCAUAGAUGUAAUUUAAAAAAAUAAAAAGUACAAAAAAAUAUAUAAAAAUUUAAAAACAAAAAAAAAAGUUGUGUGUUUGUCUGCAUUUAGCAGCGUCAUAGAUGUAAUUUAAAACUAAAUUAAAAAGUACAAAAUAUAUAUAUAAAAAUUUAAAAUAUAAAAAAAAAUUGUGUGUUUGUCUGCAAUUAGCAGCAUCAUAGAUGUAAUUUAAAAAUUAAAAAGUACAAAAAAAUAUAUAAAAAUUUAAAAAUAAAUAAAAAAGUUGUGGUGUAUAUUUGUAUGAUCAUGUGUGUUUGUCUGCAUUUCAGCAGCAAGAUUUUAUAUUUAUGUGUGUGUAAAUAUCCGUUUUCUUUUAUGUACACGGAAUUCUGUUGCAUUAUCAUGGCUGAGUGUUGCCUUAAGUCGUAAGGCACGAAUGUUUUCUCUAGAAAAUUGUUUACUUUACUCUUCAGAGUCCAUUUCAAAUGAUGUGCCUCACUUAUUGCAUUCAAUUUGACUUUUCUAAAUAUACCCAUACAUAUUAACGUCUACAUUCUAUUUAUAAAUAACAUAUCAUUGCAUGUUAUUAUACUGCAUCUCAUCUUUCUGGUGCUAUUUAAAACACGAGCACCAGUGUUUUAUCAGAUAUAAAGAUACAAGGCGAAGCCGAAUAUCUUCAGGCCUGGUAAAACGCGCACUGCGGAAUGAUUUAAAUUGCUUCAACAGUUGUGUAAGUCGAGAAAGUUAAAGUUUAUGUAAAUCAAGGGAGAUCUCUAUAACAUAUAAAGAUGCGACACGCUUGUGAUUUUCUCUUGCUAUAUUCCUCAUGAAUUCUUGAGUUUUUGAAGAUCAUUGAAUUAGUAGAUAUUCACAUGAGUUUUGGUUGCUAUAUCCAUGAUUCACAAGAUAUUCCUCAAAUCAUAUUGCAUUUUACUGACCACAGUCGUAGAAAUAUUCUGAAAUGCCAGUCAUGCAGAAAGUCAAUGCACUUAACAUUAACUAAAAAAAACAAAAGCAAAAACAGCUCAGUGAAGAGUCGUGUCGGUAAAAUAGGACAGUAUAAAUGCUAUAAAACGUACUUAGAUUGGAUUUUACACGAAUAAAGGUACCAUAUAUUAGUUAUAAUGUAUAUUCAUAGAUAUAAUGUAGUAAUAUAUGAAAAUAUAUAAUACGUGAUAUUAUGUUAAUUCAGUUGUGGUGGACGCUACCACCAGCGCGAAGACAAUUUGCCAGAGUCUUCGGGUCCAGCGAAGCAAUCACGCAAGUGUCGACCUCCGGAAAAAGUGCGGCUUACUUUCGGUACUUAUAUUCUGUCCCGCAUAACCAUGUCGAUAUUCGUAUUAAUUUCGGUUGCCGUCCGUUCACAAGAUAUUCGAUAAAUCGUUGCAUUCGGCAGGCAAAUGUUCCUUUGGAAAAUGUUUCGGGACUUGGUCACGAAUAGCGUUGUUGC